GUCAGCAUGGGAUAUACUAUGGUCAACUGCAGUGCAUCAUCUGGCUUGUUCUGGACUUUCUGGACUCUAGGGAAGUUUUGGGAACACUUCUGGAGAUCUAUAAGCAGAGUAUGGGUGCAUGGGCAUGCUUGUGGCUUUGCAAGUUUGGGGCACAGAACAACUCACCACAGCAGAGGCUUCCUUCUCCAAAAUUGGACAGCUGUUUUGAGGCAGUGGUGGUCUCAGCACAUUGUCUUAUUCCAGGGGUGCUUGCAAACUUCCUGGUGGGAUUGGACUAAUUUUGGGGGGGAUCUACUGGAGGAGAAGAGAGAGGUGAGGGCUCCCGGGAUGAGUUUCCUCUUCUGGCCUUUGAUUUGUUGGCUUUUUCUCCUCCCGGUGUCCAGAAGCCACCCUCAGGAGAAUUUUUAUAUAUCACAGAAUUCGUCAAGCUUCUUCAAGGAAGGGAAGGAGGGCUGUAAAAUGAGAAAAUCUUACUUAGAACAAUAGGUUUAGACUUGGAGCCACUCCAAGACCUCCUGUCUGAGCCGAAUGGCAAGAUGGUGUUUCUGAUGAGGCUAGGGAAAACUCCUGAAACAAAGACUGGUAUGUUGUCUUUUUCUGCUAGCUUGAUGUCCUCUCAUAGUCCAGGCAACCAAAGAGGGUUUUUUGGCGGACCAAGCAUUACAGGCUGUGCCCCUUACAUUAUAUGCAGAUUUAGUGGUAG
rnacentral:lncRNA from 11 species